rnacentral:rRNA from 1 species
AACGAACGCUGGCGGCAGGCUUAACACAUGCAAGUCGAACGCCCCGCAAGGGGAGUGGCAGACGGGUGAGUAACGCGUGGGAAUCUACCGUACCCUACGGAAUAACGCAUGGAAACGUGUGUUAAUACCGUAUACGCCCUACGGGGGAAAGAUUUAUCGGGGUAUGAUGAGCCCGCGUUGGAUUAGCUAGUUGGUGGGGUAAAGGCCUACCAAGGCGACGAUCCAUAGCUGGUCUGAGAGGAUGAUCAGCCACAUUGGGACUGAGACACGGCCCAAACUCCUACGGGAGGCAGCAGUGGGGAAUAUUGGACAAUGGGCGCAAGCCUGAUCCAGCCAUGCCGCGUGAGUGAUGAAGGCCCUAGGGUUGUAAAGCUCUUUCACCGAUGAAGAUAAUGACAGUAGUCGGAGAAGAAGCCCCGGCUAACUUCGUGCCAGCCGCCGCCGUAA